rnacentral:rRNA from 1 species
AUUGAACGCUGGCGGCAGGCCUAACACAUGCAAGUCGAGCGGAUGAAGGGAGCUUGCUCCUGGAUUCAGCGGCGGACGGGUGAGUAAUGCCUAGGAAUCUGCCUGGUAGUGGGGGAUAACGUCCGGAAACGGGCGCUAAUACCGCAUACGUCCUGAGGGAGAAAGUGGGGGAUCUUCGGACCUCACGCUAUCAGAUGAGCCUAGGUCGGAUUAGCUAGUUGGUGGGGUAAAGGCCUACCAAGGCGACGAUCCGUAACUGGUCUGAGAGGAUGAUCAGUCACACUGGAACUGAGACACGGUCCAGACUCCUACGGGAGGCAGCAGUGGGGAAUAUUGGACAAUGGGCGAAGGCCUGAUCCAGCCAUGCCGCGUGUGUGAAGAAGGUCUUCGGGUUGUAAAGCACUUUAAGUUGGGAGGAAGGGCAGUAAGUUAAUACCUUGCUGUUUUGACGUUACCAACAGAAUAAGCACCGGCUAACUUCGUG